UAUCUCUGUAGAGUCUGCAUAUCAAUAAGCGGAGGAAAAGAAACUAACAAGGAUUCCCUUAGUAACGGCGAGUGAAGCGGGAAGAGCUCAAAUUUGAAAUCUUCAAGGUUUACCUUGACGAAUUGUAGUUUAAAGAAGUGUUUUCUGUUAGAUUUGAGUAGCAAAGUUCCUUGGAAUAGGGACAUCAUAGAGGGUGAGAAUCCCGUAUUUGGUACUCAUUAUUUCAGCUGUGUGAUACACUUUCAAAGAGUCGGAUUGUUUGGGAAUGCAGUCCAAAAUGGGUGGUAAAUUUCAUCUAAAGCUAAAUAUUGGCGAGAGACCGAUAGCGAACAAGUACCGUGAGGGAAAGAUGAGAAGAACUUUGAAAAGAGAGUUAAACAGUACGUGAAAUUGUCAAAAGGGAAGCGUUUGACACCAGUGUUGUUUUCUCGAAAAUCAAUUACAAAUGGCAGUGAUUCUGUGUUGUAUUGACCUUAUCAGCUUUCUGCACUCUUUUCGAGUCUUUCUUAAUGCACUUUUCGGUUAACAAGUCAGCAUCAAUUUCUUUUGUUGUAAAAGAGUAUUCGGAAGGUGGCUUUCUUUUCGGAGAAAGUGUUUAUAGCCCUAUACUUCUACAAUCGGAGAGAUUGAGGUCUGCAGCGUAGAUCCUUCGGGGUUAGAUACAUUUGUGCUAAGUUGUAGCUUUUCAUAGACAACUUGUUGACUAUGUUUAGUCAUGCGGCUUACUCGCUUAUGCUAUUUUACCUACGCUUAGGAUGUUGAUAGUCACAGCGUGUA
rnacentral:rRNA from 1 species